GGCCCUAUCGUCUAACGGUUAGGACGGAAGCUUCUCAAGCUUUAAAUCGGGGUUCGAUUCCCCGUAGGGUCACCA
rnacentral:tRNA from 2 species